AACACUGUUAACCUGCGGUACCUGCGGAAGGAUCAUUACCGAGUGAGGGCCCUCCGGGUCCAACCUCCCACCCGUGUUUAACGAACCUUGUUGCUUCGGCGGGCCCGCCUCACGGCCGCCGGGGGGCACCCCGCCCCCGGGCCCGCGCCCGCCGAAGACACCUGUGAACGCUGUCUGAAGUUGCAGUCUGAGACACUAGCUCAAUCAGUUAAAACUUUUAACAAUGGAUCUCAGAUCGGA
rnacentral:misc_RNA from 1 species